CAUCCAUCAUGUCAAUGUCAUGAUGUCAUUUCAACGUCAAAAAUAUGCAUUUACGCUGUGUGGUGAUGCGUGAGGGGCAACCAACUUCCAUUUUUCUUAUAAAUGGGAAAUAACUAAGUUUCGUGUACUGAUUAAACAUUUAUCAUUAUUUACGCAACAAAACGAUAACCGAUACCAAAUUCAAGCUAGAUAAGUAUUAUCAGGAUUCUGCACCAUCGAUGAAGAUGCCGGUUGUGGAUUUUCCAUUGAAGCACCAUUGAUGACGCUGAUUGAUAGGACGCCCCGGACGCUCAACAGACAAAACGCAGAAAGAUGCAAGCAUACUCCGAACAAUAAAAAUUGAAAAUGUCGACUAUUGUUACUGGGAAAACCCCAAGCAAAGGGAUUUUGUGUUAAUAAAACAGUCAUCAGACAUACAUAAAGGAUAGGAUAGAAUGAUCUAUAUAGGACGUAAUUCUGGUUUCUUUCAUAAAACAAGGAAAAAAGUAAUUUGAUUAUCAUCGAGCUCAAAUUGUUCUUCAAAGAAUUUUUCAGACUUCUUCAAGUUUAACAAUUAUUUUGUAUUAAAGUAAAAAAAAAGUAAUUCAGGAAAAUAAUCAUUCAAAAUGUAAUCAAGAAUAUAAUUGUUAAAAAUAAAUUGUAUAAAAAAAAUCCGAAAUU